UUCGCAAUGCCCGAAAGGGUGAACGAGCGACGCCGCGUGCGGGAUGAAGGGUUUCGGCUUGUAAACCGCUUUUCUUUGGGAAGAAUGUCCGGAUCGUGUAUCUGGAUGCGACGGUACCAAGGGAAUAAGCCCCGGCUAACUCCGUGCCAGCAGCCGCGGUAAGACGGAGGGGGCAAGCGUUAUUCGGAAUCACUGGGCUUAAAGCGCGUGUAGGCGGAUGGGCACGUCGGCCACUGAAAGCCCCCGGCUCAACCGGGGAAGGGGUGCCGAAACGACCGGUCUGGAGGGACGUAGGGGGACCUGGAACUUCCGGUGGAGCGGUGAAAUGCGUUGAGAUCGGAAGGAACGCCCGUGGCGAAAGCGAGGUCCUGGACGUCUGCUGACGCUGAGACGCGAAAGCUAGGGGAGCAAACGGGAUUAGAUACCCCGGUAGUCCUAGCCGUAAACGAUGGGCACUAAGUAGAGGGGUUUU
rnacentral:rRNA from 1 species